AACAAGAUGAUGCAUUCUUGGUAAAUAAAGCAGAGUCCAUAGCUAGCAUACUUGGGGUUUGGUGUACAUCCAAGUUUCAAUAGCUGGCUCUUAAGGGCUUGAACGUCACUCAUUGGAAGGAAAAAAGCAAAUGAGUUCUGAGGUAUGGAACUCUGCCUUCGUUUACCAAGACGUCCGCUGUGUGUAUGUGUGUGUUCUCAGUCGUUUCCCACCAUGUGGCUACAAUAAGAGUCAACCACCAGGCUCCUCUGUCCAUGGCAUUUCCCAG
ensembl:lncRNA